GUGGGACAGUGAUGAGAUAAGACCAUCAAAUUCUGAAUGGUAGAGACCAAAUGUGGUCAACUCUUAACUGCUUACCAAAACUGAUACCUUUGACACUGUGGAAUGUAACCCUGCUCGUGAAUUCGUGUCAUUCUACAUUGUGACUCAUCUUUGUGGUGUGUGUUCGCUAGCGUUGACUAGAGUGUUCUCUGGGGUGAAAUCAUGUCCGUAUCAGUGAACCCUUAAAUGUAGCAUCCCGUGGUGUUCCUUCUGUAUUUUACGUAUUGAUACUAACACGAUGGAAGAUGUGUCGCUGUUGAGUAGACUGGUGACGCUAAACCCAGGGGAAUGUCUCUGGUGAUGAUAUCUUAUUCCACACAGACCUGUUCUGAAGUCAUAACAUGGCUUAUGUGGAGAUAUUCAGCGCGAAUACUUUGAGUCCAGUUAGACAUUUCCCUGGUACGUUUUGUGUGUCUUGCGUGCAAUGUAGUGGGAUGCAGUGCUUGAGCCGACGGAUGUGCCUAGGACUAUGCCGCUAGCUUUCCUUGAAGUAUUCCCUUGUUUCUGUUGCUGUCACCGUACGGUGGGACUCGCGUAUGCGAACAGUGCCAACGGUAAGUAAUUUGGCAUUCUGCCUUUUCUUUUUCAGUGUCUGAAAUCGACCGGGUUGUCAUACUAGAUGAUGGUGUAUGUGCUGUAUUCGUGGCCAUCUCAUUGGGCUAUGGUGCCGUGCAAGGUUAUGAUGCGCGGAAGCCAAAUCAGAGAGGGCCAGAGUAUCAUACCGAGUUAAUCGCAGGCGCCCCAAGCACGCCGAGUUUGUUUCGUUGUGUAUGGGGUGUUUCUGUUUCAUGCCUCGGCGACAUUAAAAGUUGGGUGAAAAGUUUUUGGAAUUUUUACUGGGUAGUGUUCAUUGUAAGUGUGCUCAGGGACAGUUUAAUUCAACUGCGUGUUCUCUGUGUCCAUUGGGUAAGCCAGGUAGAAAGUUGGGGAACACGCUUGAUAAUCAAUUACCCAAGGUUGUUCUGUACCUUGCGGUUUAAAUGGCCCCAAGCGUAUACUCAAUGCUCCUCCAUAAUUCAUGUAGACGCUUGUGUUUUUUUGUGUCGACACGGAACUCCGUGGUGCGACAGUUUGAGGUGUCCGUUCGAGAAGGUACGCGCUCGAGUACCAGCGGGUUUGAGAAUUGCUGAAAGAUGCUUCAGUGGAUUUCUAAGAGUGCCCGUACACAAAUCCAUGUCUCGACAAUUUUUCUGAAUUUUUUACGAUCUGUGGUUGAAUGUGUUCAUGAUGUUUUUUAGCCGUUUCUGAACGUGUUGUGUUUAUAUUAUAUGUAUCGGUGAUAUUAUGGUGGCUUUUUUCGUGUGUGGUGUACUCUUUUCCCUUGGACUUAUUUUGUUAUGGGUAUAUGUAGGCGUCGUCUUGUUCGUGUUUCUCGAGAUCUGUUCUAUUUUCAAAACUUAAAUAAUCAAUGUUAUUUCUACUACUUGCCAG
rnacentral:lncRNA from 1 species